UCCUGCCGAGAAGGGUGGGAACCGUGUGGGGCUGAGGUCCUGCGUGGGGUGGGUUCCAGACGACCCGUCCCUAAUGUGCCGGACUCGGCAGGACGAGGAGGGUCUCAAAGAUGAGGGCAAGCCUGUUCCGAGGGUCGAAACCCUGGGCCGGGAUAAGAUUGGCAGGACAUAUCUGCCCUUAUAAAACAUCUGCCUCCUAUCUCCCUGACCAAGUUUGGAUUCACCUGUUAAAUGCUUUCAAAGCACCUUGGACUUCUUCACAGUAUUUAUUACACUUGGAAUUGUACAUUUAUUUGUGAGAUUUGAUUACUGUAUCUCCCAUAGUAGAUUGUAAGGACCAUGAGGGCUUGUAUGUAGUACAGACUUAUUCACCAUUAAUGCCUGGUAUAUAAUAGGCUCCUAACAACUAAUAGCUGAAUGGUUAAAUAAACACCUAACUCAGUGCGUAUCCCCUCUACAACUUGCUGAGGGCAAGUCUUGGAAUCCAGAGAAUCAAUCUUUCUAAAAACUAUGUUAAAAAAAAAAGGAAGCCCCUACAGGAGAAUGGAAGUAAUCCUUUCGUAGUGUACUGGACCCCAACUUUAGGGUUUUGUGAUAACUAUUUUGGUUGUUAGGCCUCUUCCCCCUUUUAAUGCCUAGAAAAAGUAGAAAUUGUAUGGAUAAGUGCCCCUUAAUAGCCAUAAGUUCUUGGGCAAUUUCCUUUUAUAAAAUAAUGAUAAUACUCGCUACCUCUAUGGGUUAUUGUGAGGAUUCAGUAAAAUAAUAAAGUGCUCAUCACACUGCCUGGUA